CCCUCAUGAUUGUCUGGAGAGGUGAGAAGACCAGGAGUAGUAAAACAGACCAAAGAUUUCCCAAUUUCUCUUGGGGAAGUGGCUGGGAUUGGGGAUGGUGGCCAAUGGGAGCCCAACUUUAUUGGUAAAAUUCUGAUUAUUUUAUGAGAAGAAUGUAUUUUUGUAUCAUUUGUGUAAUUAAAAAAUUAAGCAAAUGAAUAAUAUGAACACUUCAGUUCUUAAACAUUGACAAUGUAUAUACUGGAUGUAAUAAAACGCACUGAAUUGAAAAAACUUUGCUUUGGUGAUUUGUAAGAGAGGAGUUUUCCCUGUCAUUUUCUUUUGCUUUGAUCAGGGGAUACUAGAUAAUAUCAAACCGGCUUUAUCCAAACUGUAUAUUGACAAAUAGGAGACUUGUCUUCCCAAUAUCUGGUGUGACAAGGAAUCUCAAAGAAUUGAUCAGAAUGCAUUCCUUCAUUGGUACUAUGUGGUGUUAAUUAUUGUAGCACUCUUGAAAAUUGUUUGGUUAUUCUUGUAUGUUUAUGUUUUUCAUAUUAACUUUAAAAUUGUUUUUUCCAGUUACUUACUAAAAGACUCAUAUUGAUUUUGAUUGAAGCGGCAUUAAACUUAUUCUUUUAGUUUACGGUAGAAUUGGCAUGUUAACUAUAGUGAUUGUGACUGUCUACUGAAUCUCUUAGUUUAUUCCUGUCAUCUUUUAGGUCUCAAGAUAGAGUUCUAUAGCUUUCUUUAUGUGGGUCCUGCACAUUUCUUAAGUCCAUUCCUGGGCUUCCUGUAUUUUGUGCUGCUAUUGUGAGUGUAAUUUUUCUUUUCCAUUAUGUUUUCUAAUAUAUAAUUGAUACUAUACUAAUGAAUGAAUUCAUUAGUUUAUUCUACAAGUAUGAAUAGAGAAGCUAUUUAUUUAUUUUGCAUACUUAUUUUAUAACCUGUGCCUUUAUUGAAUUUUCUUAUCAGUCUUAAUAGUUUUUGGCAUUACUAGACAUAUACCAAAGAUUGAAUUAACUUUGGGCCUUCAUUUAUAAAAGUAAUUGUGGUGGUCUUAAAACAUUUAUGAAAAUCUUUAAUACUGCUUUUAUAAAAAGAACAAGUCUAUGUCCUCUUCUCUUGAAUCACUGCUGACCUCAGUGAAUCCUUUGUAACCUGUAGAAUCUAACAAGUGAUGAGAUGUAACUUCAAAGGUCAGGUGGGAAAAGGUUACUUAGGUUUCACCAGGAUCUCUUGGGACACUCACUGUGGGUGAAGAUAUGGGCUAUGUAAUUAGUCUGACUACUCUGGGCUGUCUGUGCUGAAGA
rnacentral:lncRNA from 1 species